UGGAGCUCAACUCCAGAACUGCCAUUGAUACUAUCUAUCUUGAAUAUUGUGGAGGUAAGCGGAAUAUGUCAUGUAGCGGUGAAAUGCUUAGAUAUGACAUAGAACACCCAUUGCGAAGGCAGCUUACUACGCAUAUAUUGACGCUGAGGCACGAAAGCGUGGGGAUCAAACAGGAUUAGAUACCCUGGUAGUCCACGCCCUAAACUAUGGAUACUCGACAUAUGCGAUACACUGUAUGUGUCUGAGCGAAAGCAUUAAGUAUCCCACCUGGGAAGUACGUUCGCAAGAAUGAAACUCAAAGGAAUUGGCGGGGGUCCGCACAAGCGGUGGAGUAUGUGGUUUAAUUCGAUGAUACGCGAGGAACCUUACCUGGGCUAGAAUGCUGGGAGAUCGCUAGUGAAAGCUAGUUUUGUAGCAAUACACUGCCAGUAAGGUGCUGCAUGGCCGUCGUCAGCUCGUGCCGUGAGGUGUUGGGUUAAGUCCCGCAACGAGCGCAACCCCUAUCUUUAUUUGCCAACAGGUAAUGCUGGGAACUCUAAAGAAACUGCCGCCGUAAGGUGUGAGGAAGGAGGGGAUGAUGUCAGGUCAUCAUGGCCUUUAUGCCCAGGGCUACACACGUACUACAAUGGGGAAGACAAAGGGCUGCAACAUAGCGAUAUGAAGCCAAUCCCAAAAACUUCCUCUCAGUUCAGAUUGCAGGCUGCAACUCGCCUGCAU
rnacentral:rRNA from 1 species